rnacentral:misc_RNA from 1 species
UCAGCGCACGCACCAGCCGCGCGCAGUUGAUGUUGGUUGCGCAUCCGGCCUUGUCGUGACGCGAGAGACG